rnacentral:rRNA from 1 species
GUGAGGAAUUUUGCGCAAUGGCCGCAAGGCUGACGCAGCAACGCCGCGUGGGUGAUGAAGGCCUUCGGGUCGUAAAGCCCUGUCAGGUGGGAAGAAAGGCCUGGAGAGGAAAGGUUUCAGGUUUGACGGUACCACCAGAGGAAGCACCGGCUAACUCCGUGCCAGCAGCCGCGGUAAUACGGAGGGUGCGAGCGUUAUUCGGAAUUACUGGGCGUAAAGCGCGUGUAGGCGGGGAGACAAGUCUGAUGUGAAAGCCCUGGGCUUAACCUGGGAAGUGCAUUGGAAACUGUUUUUCUUGAGUACUGGAGAGGAAGGGGGAAUUCCCGGUGUAGAGGUGAAAUUCGUAGAGAUCGGGAGGAAUACCAGUGGCGUAGGCGCCCUUCUGGACGGUAACUGACGCUGAGACGCGAAAGCGUGGGGAGCAAACAGGAUUAGAUACCCUGGUAGUCC